UACGUAGGUGCGAGCGUUAAUCGGAAUUACUGGGCGUAAAGCGUGCGCAGGCGGUUAUAUAAGACAGAUGUGAAAUCCCCGGGCUCAACCUGGGAACUGCAUUAGUGACUGUAUAGCUAGAGUGCGGCAGAGGGGGAGUGGAAUUCCGCGUGUAGCAGUGAAAUGCGUAGAUAUGUGGAGGAACACCAAUGGCGAAGGCAGCCCCCUCGGGAGUAAC
rnacentral:rRNA from 1 species